rnacentral:lncRNA from 1 species
CCGCUGGCUCUGGGCUGGAAGGCAGUUCUAGAAAUGCCCUGCUGGGUCCUCACACCUCCUGUGCCCGCCCUGCGCCAGGAGAGCUGAGUCAUGGAAAAAGUUAGUUCUCCAGACUACAGCUCACCCCCCACUCCAGCAAACCCACAAAGGCUCCUUUCAUGGUUUUUGGGUGGGGAGGGGGUGCGGUGGCUGGCUGUGGGGCCCUCUCCUUGGGCUGGGAUGUGAAAUUUCAAACUUGACCCUGGAGUUAAAUUCCCUACCCCUUGUCCCCAAGGAAACUAAGGAAGGAGAGCUGGGAUGGCACCCACCU